rnacentral:rRNA from 1 species
GACGAACGCUGGCGGCGUGCUUAACACAUGCAAGUCGAACGGAAAGGCCCUGCUUUUGUGUGGUUCUCGAGUGGCGAACGUGUGAGUAACAUGUGAGUAACCUUCCCUUUACUUUGGGAUAACUUCAGGAAACUGCUGCUAAUACCUGAUAGGAGCUCCUGCUGCAUGGGGGGGUUUGGAAAGUUUAGGCGGUGGUGGAUGUACUGGGGGCUUAUCAGCUUGUUGGUGGGGUAGUUGCUUACCAAGGCUUUGGAGGGUAGCCUGCAUGAGAGGGUGAUCGGCCACAAUAGGACUGAGAGACGGAGCAGACUCGUACGGGAGGCAGCAGUGGGAAACAUUGCACAAUGGGCGGAAGCGUGAUGAAGAAAUGUCGCGUGCGGGAUGACGGUCUUCGGGUUGUAAACCGCUGUCGGCUGUGACGAAGCGUGAGUGACGGUAAUGGGUAAAGAAGCACCGGCUAACUACGUG